GAACGCACAUUGCGCCCUUUGGCAUUCCGAAGGGCAUGCCCGUUCGAGCGUCAUUACACCACUCAAGCCUGGCUUGGUAUUGGGCGACGGGACCUCCCCGCGCCUUCAAUUCAUCGGCUGGACGGUUCGAAUCUCAGCGUUGUGGUUUCAUCAAAUCGCUGGCGAGGACGACCGGACGUCGCCGUUAAACUCUUAUCAAAGGUUGACCUCGGAUCGGGUAGGGAUACCCGCUGAACUUAAG
rnacentral:misc_RNA from 1 species